AUUGAACGCUGGCGGCAUGCUUUACACAUGCAAGUCGAACGGUAACAGGCCUUCGGGUGCUGACGAGUGGCGAACGGGUGAGUAAUGCAUCGGAACGUGCCCAGAGGUGGGGGAUAACGCAGCGAAAGCUGUGCUAAUACCGCAUGUGAUCUGAGGAUGAAAGCGGGGGACCAGGCAGCAAUGUUUGGCCUCGCGCCUUUGGAGCGGCCGAUGUCAGAUUAGGUAGUUGGUGGGGUAAAGGCCUACCAAGCCGACGAUCUGUAGCUGGUCUGAGAGGACGACCCGCCACACUGGGACUGAGACACGGCCCAGACUCCUACGGGAGGCAGCAGUGGGGAAUUUUGGACAAUGGGCGCAAGCCUGAUCCAGCAAUGCCGCGUGCGGGAAGAAGGCCUUCGGGUUGUAAACCGCUUUUGUAAGGGAAGAAAAGGCUUUGGCUAAUACCUGGGGCUGAUGACGGUACCGGAAGAAUAAGCAACGGCUAACUACGUG
rnacentral:rRNA from 1 species